AUGCUCUCUUUCCUAAUGGGAACUCAGAGGAGAGGACAACGCUGAACCCAAUUGUGGGCUUUUUGAGUUCUCUCCUGCUGGUGCCUGAACCAGGAGAAGGAAAGCAGAGAAGGUCUUUUAUCUCUGGGCUGUUCACCUUUGGCUCAGUGCCCUACUGCUUGUGCACAGGAAAGAGAAAAGAACUAGCAGAUACCUAAAACUUACCGUCAGGAGCUCUGAAGAAGAGAAUGUCAGCGUCAGAAUCCCAAUCACAUUUAACUUGGCAUGAAGGAAAUCUUAUGGAGGCAUCACCACUGAUACUCCUGUUUGCCUAUGUGUACAGAAAGUUGGCCAGUUUGCGAAGCAAGAGAGAGGGUAAGAGGAUGGUUUUGGACCACAGCAGCAAGAAACUCAUCACAACCACAAAUGAAUCAGAAUCGCGAUCCUGCUGCUGCUUUGCUUUCUGUGCUGUGUGGAAGUAUGAGCUCUCCUCACCGACCACUGUGAGGAGCAGAAAGCAAACAGUCUCU